GUGACAGAGCAAGACUCUGUCUCCAAAAGCAAACAAACAAACAAACAAAACUAUACUGGGCGUGCCUGCCUAUCAGACACCCAAUCUUGCAAGACCACCAUUAAAAGUCUCACUUUUGCUGUUCUCCGAGUCUCUGAAUCCAUUCUUUGGGUUUGGAAGGGUGAGUUUGUUUUUCACAAUCUGGUGGCCAUACGGGGAUCUCUGUGCCUGCAUGGAGAGGGGAGACGUGCCCCACUUGAUUUAUGUGGCCCGCUCUGUCUGGAUGUCCCGGCUCCCCACAGAAGCCACAGACAAACCGGAGACCAUGAUUCAGGAGAUAACAAAAGUGACACAGGAAGAAAAGCAGGCACCGCGGCAACCAGACAACCUCGUGCACGAACCACGGUGGGAAAAUGGGACUGUCACCACUUCCAGCCUGGCGACUUGGUGCUAAUUAAGACUUGGAAGGAAGACAAUCUCCACCCAAGCUGGGAAGGUUCCUAUCAAGUGCUCGUGAUCACUGAGACAGCCGUAGGAACAGCUGAACGGGGUGGACACUCACACUCGGGUCAAGAGACUGGUAAAAGAAACCCCAGAAGGAAGGGAAAAAGAAACUUUGCUCUGGUGGAGGAAACAAACAUGGACACAUUGUGAGAGUUCCAGGAAGUGGCCACUUGGAGGUGGUAUCAAAGUGCUGUGGGAAUCCACUUGGGAUUGCUGGAGGAGAAGCCAGUUGCCAUAUUGUGAGGAUGCUCAAGCAACCUUAUGAAGAGGUCUACAUGGUGAAGAACUAAGGCCUACUAUCAAAAACAAACACUAAUUUGCCAGACAUAUAAUCAGCUUCUGAUAACUGUAGAGAAAAGUAUGGGCAGAAAGGAGAAAGUAAGCCAAGAGGGGAGCUGGAAGUCAGGACCUACUGCCUUGGAAAGCCAUCGUGCUGUGAGGACUCUUCAUCAUUCCUCAAGUCUCCCUCUGAUGCCGAGCAGAAGCUGGACUGUACUG
rnacentral:lncRNA from 1 species